CGAGGGUAUAUUAACAACAUUACAUAUUUUCCAAAACUAACGUGAUGGAGUCAACAAAGUAUCGACGAUGCAAAGCAGUCAGUCUUGUGCCAUACACACCGAAGAUCAGAAAAAUGAAGAUCAGAAAAAUGCCAUGUGAAGAGGCAUCUGGGACUCGUCAGUUGUUGUCAAAGGCUCAGUUGCUGAUGUCGGAUAUAGAGAAACUGCUGGACAUGUGUAAGCCAACUGUGCAGAGAGAGG